rnacentral:lncRNA from 1 species
AUGUUCCUCCUUGGUUCUGAACCUGGAUCCUGGGGGGCCCUCUGCAUGGUCCCCCAUCUAUUCUCUUUGGCAGGAGGAGAGACACCUUGGAAGUGACAGAGAGAAGGAGUACUAGGCUGCACUGUGGCAGGGGGAUGGACAGGAGGGCCGGCCUUCUUGUGGCCCUAGAGAUCUUAGGACACUGUGGGAUGCUCAGCAAGGGUAGCUUGGGAGGGACGUGAGGUUUCCCCCCUGUUGUCAUUUAAGGGUGUGUGAAAUGGACUUAGAAGGCAUCCGAGAUGAUUUUUUCAUUACAAAGAUUGUCUUUGGUGACUUGGAAAAAGGUUUAGUCCAGCACCGAACAUGAUUUUUCUUUUCUCCUAAUUAAUUUAUUUUCUGCCAAAGAAAUUGACUGUGUCCCUUUAAGCAGCACCAACCCCAGAGCAAGGUGCCCCUGGAGGGAACCAUGGGAUCAAUUUUUCAGCCAGGGACUAUACAGCUUGGCUAUACAGGCUUAGGGCUUUUAAUUUGCUUAUACAUAGAGUGGCUUGAGCU